GUCAGGUGACGUCCUACGUCCGCCCCUCCCAGCCUCACCGGGUCGGGGCCCAGCGCGCUCCCAACCGCCCCCGGGAGCCCCGGUUGACCGCAGCUUGGCUCCGCCUACUUCGCCUACCCCGAGUGGCGGCCGCGUGGGGGUUUCAGCCCAUGCCUUAACUGACAGAGGACUGAGCCAGGUGGCCGAGGAAGCGGGUACUGAAGGGACCGGGCCGGCAGGGUCACAGGGCCACGCCACACAACGAAUUCCAUGGACUCACACCAAGAGUAGUAAGAAGCAUACUGCAUUGCUCCUGGAGUUGGAGGAACUUGACUGGACUUUUUCCAUGUGCAACUGUAAAGAAAUCAGCAUCUUAUUGGUGAAUUAAUUGUUUCCCUGGAAGAUGGAGCAGAGUGAUUCUCUCAGAGUGGCUAUGCAGCUUGGUGGUCUAGAACCACUGUCAGAUGCUGGAGCCCAUAGGGUGGCUGCAAACCAU
rnacentral:lncRNA from 1 species